rnacentral:rRNA from 1 species
AACGCUAGCUACAGGCUUAACACAUGCAAGUCGAGGGGCAGCAUGAACUUAGCUUGCUAAGUUUGAUGGCGACCGGCGCACGGGUGAGUAACGCGUAUCCAACCUGCCCCCCGCCCGGGAAUAGUCUUCUGAAAGGAAGUUUAAUGCCCGUUGCGGUCGCGUUCCCGCAUGGGAAUGCGACGAAAGGAAACGGCGGCGGAUGGGGAUGCGUUCCAUUAGCUGGUUGGCGGGGUAACGGCCCACCAAGGCGACGAUGGAUAGGGGUUCUGAGAGGAAGGCCCCCCACAUUGGGACUGAGACACGGCCCAAACUCCUACGGGAGGCAGCAGUGAGGAAUAUUGGUCAAUGGGCGGAAGCCUGAACCAGCCAAGUAGCGUGAGGGAUGAAGGCCCUACGGGUCGUAAACCUCUUUUAUAAGGGAAUAAAGAGCCCCACGUGUGGGGCGUUGCAUGUACCUUAUGAAUAAGCAUCGGCUAAUUCCGUGCCAGCAGCCGCGGUAAUACGGAAGAUGCGGGCGUUAUCCGGAUUUAUUGGGUUUAAAGGGAGCGUAGGCGGAGUUUUAAGUCAGCGGUAAAAUCGUGCGGCUCAACCGUGCCGUGCCGUUGAAACUGGGACUCUUGAGUCUGCACAGGGCACAUGGAAUUCGUGGUGUAGCGGUGAAAUGCUUAGAUAUCACGAAGAACUCCGAUUG